rnacentral:rRNA from 1 species
GACAGAGGGUGCAAACGUCGUUCGGAUUUACUGGGCGUAAAGCGCGUGUAGGCGGCUUCGUAAGUUGGAUGUGAAAUCCCACGGCUCAACCGUGGACGUGCAUCCAAAACUACGUCGCUGGAGUCUCGGAGAGGAAGGUGGAAUGCUUGGUGUAGAGGUGAAAUUCGUAGAUAUCAAGCAGAACACCUGCGGCGAAGGCGGCCUUCUGGACGAUGACUGACGCUGAGACGCGAAAGCGUGGGGAGCAAACAGG